AGAGGGAACUAUCCACAGACGACCUGAAUGGAGCUUGUGGACCACAGUUUGAGAACCUCUGCUUUAGAUAAUGUACAAAAUAAAUUACGAUCAGUGGAGAUGGUAGCUCAGGAACUUCGUCAGUUUAAAAGGGAAGGGCAGCUGGCAAGGAGCUGUCCAUGUUGGGGCUUGACUCUGAAAUUCACUCCCUCACCUCUUGACUCUGAAAUAGCCCAAAUCUGUUGAUGAGGGCAUGCUGCAUAAUCCAAUUUUGCUCAGUUUUCUGAGGAGGAAGAAGUUGGAGGAGAGCUGCUCUUUCUUGGAGAGGAUAGGAAACUGAGGCGUAGAGAGCUGAAGUUACUUGCCCCAUCGUCACCCAGCAGGGCAGUGGCAGAGCUAAGAAUAGUUCCAAGCCAAAGUUUGAAUUUUCAGGCCUUGGCUACACUGGAGAGUUGCAGCGCUGGUGGUGGCUUUACAGCGCAGCAACUUACUCACCGUCUACAUUUGCAAGGCACAUAUACCUCUGUAUCUCCCUGGCUACAGCGCUGCAUGUACCCCACCUCUGCCUGGGGAAUAACGACUGCAGCGCUGGUG